UACGGAGGGGGGCGAGCGUUAUUCGGAAUUAUUGGGCGUAAAGGGCGCGUAGGCGGCUUGGCAAGUCAAAGGUGAAAUCCCCAGGCUCAACCUGGGAACUGCGUCUGAUACUGGAUGGCUUGAAUCCGGGAGAGGGAUGCAGAAUUCCAGGUGUAGCGGUGAAAUGCGUAGAUAUCUGGAGGAAUACCGGUGGCGAAGGCGGCAUCCUGGACCGGCAUUGACGCUGAGGAGCGAAAGCUAGGGGAGCAAACGGG
rnacentral:rRNA from 1 species